CCUACGGGUGGCAGCAGUAGGGAAUAUUGCUCAAUGGGGGAAACCCUGAAGCAGCAACGCCGCGUGGAGGAUGAAGGUUUUAGGAUUGUAAACUUCUUUUGUUAGAGAAGAUUAUGACGGUAUCUAACGAAUAUGCACCGUCUAAAUACGUGCCCGCAGCCGCGGUAAUACGGAGGGUGCAAGCGUUACGCGGAAUCACUGGGCGUAAAGGGUGCGUAGGUGGGGUAAUAAGUAAGAUGUGAAAUCCUGUGGCUUAACUCAAGAACUGCAUUUGAAACUGUUUAUCUGGAGUGUGGGAGAGGUAGGUGGAAGUCUAGGUGUAGCGGUGAAAUGCGUAGAGAUCAGGAGGAAUACAGAUUGCGAAGGCGGCCUGCUGGAACGUUACUGACGCUGAGGCACGAAAGCGUGGGGAGCAAACAGGAUUAGAUACCCCAGUAGUC
rnacentral:rRNA from 1 species